AUUGAACGCUGGCGGCAGGCUUAACACAUGCAAGUCGAGCGAGGGGCGGAGGGGUGAGUAAUGUCUGGGAAUCUGCGUGAUGGAGGGGGAUAACCACGGGAAACGGUAGCUAAUACCGCAAACUAUCAUGUAUGCCCAGAUGGGAUUCGCUAGUAGGUGGGGUAAUGGCUCACCUAGGCGACGAUCCCUAGCUGUUCUGAGAGGAUGACCAGCCACACUGGGACUGAGACACGGUCCAGACUCCUACGGGAGGCAGCAGUGGGGAAUAUUGCACAAUGGGCGCAAGCCUGAUGCAGCCAUGCCGCGUGUGUGAAGAAGGCCCUCGGGUUGUAAAGCACUUUCAGCGAGGAGGCGUUACUCGCAGAAGAAGCACCGGCUAACUCCGUGCCAGCAGCCGCGGUAAUUC
rnacentral:rRNA from 1 species